AUGUUUACGCUUACUGGUCGUUCCUAAAGAAAAGAGCUAAGACUUAAAGCAGCUAUUAAGACAGCUCCUCCUAGCUUGGAGAGAUAAAUGAUUUUAUCGCGCUCCACAUCUCGUGGUAUUUUUGUUUCCAGCCUGGACUUGAGUUCAUCAGUUCAUCGAGGAAAGGAUAAUUUACUACGAGAGCGCAGAGAUUUGCUACUCAAUAGGUAUCGGGGUACAGAAAGAGUACAUUGACACAUAUUGCUUGGU
rnacentral:lncRNA from 1 species